CCUGCACACUGAUAGUUCCUGGAUGGUCUAGGCCUUUUGUGAGGUUCUUAGGUGUCAACUGGAAAUCCAUACUGCUGAAUUUGAUAUUUGAUGCUAUGUAUUAGAAGUGCUUUCUGAAGCUGUAAACAAAAUGCAGUGGGAAAAUACAGUUGCUCUGUUUCCAGUAUCAAGAUUUUUCUGAGGAAUUUUUCAAGGUACAAUGUCAUCUUACUGUUCCCUGAUAAAUGAUGAAUUAUCAUUUACAGCAGCUAUUUUCAUUGCCUUAGAAUGACUCUGCUCCAUGCUUGUCAGGAUGCUCCUGAAAUACUGUGUCCAUUUCUGGUUGCCACUAUUCAAGAAGAAACUGGAUAGACUGGAGAUGGUCCAAAGAAGGGUCAUUAGGAAAGGAUGAGAGUCAGUUCUUUUCUUCCUGGAAAAGAGAACGCUCAAGGGGCACCUCAUCAGAGUAUUCCUGUGCUUAAAGGCUGGCUGUACAGAGGACUGAGGCUCUCUCUUCAGAAGGAGCAACUAGAGAAGAUAGGGGAGAAACACUGUACUGUACUGGGAGAGGUCUCAUUUCAAUGUAAGAAAGAAUUUUUUUACAAUGAAUAGAAUAAUUUGCUGUAACAACCUCUCCAGGGAUGUGGUGCGGUGCUCAUUGUUGGAUGUUUUCAAGGUGCAGUUGGACAAGGUGCUAUAUAAUCUCAUCUGACUCCCUUUUCCCGUGAAAAGUUGAAACUUAUAAAAAGUUGAAACCUUUUGAGGUCCCUUCAAACUUUGGUUACUCUAUGAUUCUGUAAAAUGAGCAACUUACUUCACUGUUUUUCACCUUUCUUUGU